UUUAAUAAAUAUAAUAUUAAAAUUGAAUAAAGUUAAUAAUUAAUAAUUUUUAAAAUAAUUAUUAAAUUUUAUUAUUAAAUUGAAAAUUAAUAUUCUACAUAAAAUUGAUGUGUGCAUAAUUUCAUAUAGCAUUUGUGAAGGUGAAAAUGCAAAUAUCUGGAAAUAUUGUAUUCAGCACAUUGCAUCGUUGAAAACAGUCCAAAAUGUCAAAGGCAAUUUAAAGAUUAAAAAUAUUCAAAAUAAGUUGAAUAAAGAGGAUAAUGAAAACAUAAGUAUUGACUCAAUAAAUGAACAAGUUAUAGAAGAGAAGCAAAGAGAUCUUGCUCAAAAUUUAUUAAUUUCUGAAUCAAAUAUUCAGUAUCUUCAGAAAUCUGUUUCUCAGAAAGAAGAAAAAAUUUAUAAAAUAG